UUCCCCAUAAUAUUCGGAGAGGCAUCUCUCCGGGUUGAAAACUCCGGUGGUUAUAGAUGGACAUGCGUUUGUAUUAGCUAGUUGGUGAGGUAACGGCUCACCAAGGCAACGAUACAUAGGGAGACUGAGAGGUUAACCCCCCACACUGGUACUGAGACACGGACCAGACUCCUACGGGAGGCAGCAGUGAGGAAUAUUGGUCAAUGGACGCAAGUCUGAACCAGCCAUGCCGCGUGCAGGAAGACGGCUCUAUGAGUUGUAAACUGCUUUUGUACGAGGGUAAACUCACCUACGUGUAGGUGACUGAAAGUAUCGUACGAAUAAGGAUCGGCUAACUCCGUGCCAGCAGCCGCGGUAAUACGGAGGAUUCAAGCGUUAUCCGGAUUUAUUGGGUUUAAAGGGUGCGUAGGCGGUUUGAUAAGUUAGAGGUGAAAUCCCGGGGCUUAACUCCGGAACUGCCUCUAAUACUGUUAGACUAGAGAGUAGUUGCGGUAGGCGGAAUGUAUGGUGUAGCGGUGAAAUGCUUAGAGAUCAUACAGAACACCGAUUGCGAAGGCAGCUU
rnacentral:rRNA from 1 species